rnacentral:rRNA from 1 species
UACGUAGGGGGCAAGCGUUGUCCGGAAUCAUUGGGCGUAAAGAGCGCGUAGGCGGCCCUGUAAGUCCGCUGUGAAAGUCAAGGGCUCAACCCUUGAAUGCCGGUGGAUACUGCAGGGCUAGAGUCCGGAAGAGGCGAGUGGAAUUCCUGGUGUAGCGGUGAAAUGCUUAGAUAUGACAUAGAAUACCGAUAGCGAAGGCAGCUUACUACAUGUUAAUUGACGCUGAGGCACGAAAGCGUGGGGAGCAAACAGG